UUGUUUUUGCCACUAAUUUAGCUUUUUUCUUGUGACUUUCCUUAUCCCUAUUGUGGUUCUUAUUGAUGAUUUUAGUGUUUGUGUUUUUGUUGACUUUCGGUCUGUUAGUCUUUUCUCUGUUUCAUUCUUUUCUGUGUGUCAUGGUCUCUGUGUCUCCUUGGUGGACCUAGGUUUCAGGCUACAUGUUGUUUUUAGUUUGUCUCUCUCUCCCUCUCCUGUCUCUCACCUGUCUGCCUGGGCAGAGCUCAGCUGGGUUUGGCCCACGCACCUGCCGUGAAUUUACCUUAUUACCUGGACUCCUGGGCUAUUUAAGCUGAGGACUCAGAAGGCUUCUUCGCUGGAUCGUUGAGUUACUCUUGUCGGUUCUCGGACUCGUCCGUACCCCCGAUCUGUUUCCCUGGUGGAGUGGCGUGGAGUGGAGUGAGAGUGAGUGUGCUGAAAACAAAUACGUGAGGAGCGAAUGAGCAGAGCGUGUUUUGGACUUUCUCCCCUUUUUCCCCUGGACCGUUGCAUAUCCCUGCCCUGUACACUGUAUAUACUUUUGUAAAUAAAUUUACGACUGCUAUUCUAGUUCA